GACAGAGGUGCCGAGCGUUAGGCGGAAUCACUGGGCUUAAAGCGUGUGUAGGCGGGUCGUUAAGUGUCUUGUGAAAUCCCCCGGCUCAACCGGGGAAUGGCUGGGCAUACUGGCGAUCUUGAGCAGUCUAGGGGCAGAUGGAACAGACGGUGGAGCGGUGAAAUGCGUAGAUAUCGUCUGGAACGCCAAAGGUGAAAACAGUCUGCUGGGGACUUGCUGACGCUGAGACACGAAAGCCAGGGGAGCGAACGGG
rnacentral:rRNA from 1 species